AGAGUUUGAUCCUGGCUCAGGACGAACGCUGGCGGCGUGCUUAAUACAUGCAAGUCGAACGGAGUUAAGGGUUUCGGCCUUUAACUUAGUGGCGAACGGGUGAGUAACGCGUGAAUAACCUGACUCAAAGAGGGGGAUAACAACGGGAAACUGUUGCUAAUACCGCAUGAGACCACAACACCGCAUGAUGAAGGGGUCAAAGAUUUAUCGCUUUGAGAGGGGUUCGCGUCCCAUUAGGUAGUUGGAGGGGUAACGGCCCACCAAGCCAACGAUGGGUAGCCGAGCUGAGAGGCUGAUCGGCCACACUGGAACUGAGACACGGUCCAGACUCCUACGGGAGGCAGCAGUGGGGAAUAUUGGGCAAUGGGCGCAAGCCUGACCCAGCAACGCCGCGUGAGGGAAGAAGGUUUUCGGAUUGUAAACCUCUGUCCUAUGUGACGAAGGAAGUGACGGUAGCAUAGGAGGAAGCCCCGGCUAACUACGUGCCAGCAGCCGCGGUAAUACGUAGGGGGCGAGCGUUGUCCGGAAUUACUGGGCGUAAAGGGUGCGUAGGCGGUUUGGUAAGUUGGAUGUGAAAUACCCGGGCUUAACUUGGGGGCUGCAUCCAAUACUGUCGGACUUGAGUGCAGGAGAGGAAAGCGGAAUUCCUAGUGUAGCGGUGAAAUGCGUAGAUAUUAGGAGGAACACCGGUGGCGAAGGCGGCUUACUGGACUGUAACUGACGUUGAGGCUCGAAAGCGUGGGGAGCAAACAGGAUUAGAUACCCUGGUAGUCCACGCC
rnacentral:rRNA from 1 species